rnacentral:rRNA from 1 species
UACAGAGGUCUCAAGCGUUGUUCGGAUUCAUUGGGCGUAAAGGGUGCGUAGGCGGCGCGGCAAGUCGGGUGUGAAAUCUCGGAGCUUAACUCCGAAACUGCAUUCGAUACUGCCGUGCUUGAGGACUGGAGAGGAGACUGGAAUUUACGGUGUAGCGGUGAAAUGCGUAGAUAUCGUAAGGAAGACCAGUGGCGAAGGCGGGUCUCUGGACAGUUCCUGACGCUGAGGCACGAAGGCCAGGGGAGCAAACGGG